rnacentral:rRNA from 1 species
UACGUAGGGUCCGAGCGUUAUCCGGAGUUACUGGGCGUAAAGGGCGUGUAGGUGGUUCUGUAAGUCUGGCGUGAAAUUUUUCGGCUUAACCGGGAAAGGUCGUCGGAUACUGCAGGGCUAGAGGACGGUAGAGGCGUGUGGAAUUCCGGGUGUAGUGGUGAAAUGCGUAGAGAUCCGGAGGAACACCAGUGGCGAAGGCGACACGCUGGGCCGUACCUGACACUGAUGCGCGACAGCAUGGGGAGCAAACAGG